AUUGAACGCUGGCGGCAGGCUUAACACAUGCAAGUCGAGCGGGGUGAUGGUGCUUGCACUAUCACUUAGCGGCGGACGGGUGAGUAAUGCUUAGGAAUCUGCCUAUUAGUGGGGGACAACAUCUCGAAAGGGAUGCUAAUACCGCAUACGUCCUACGGGAGAAAGCAGGGGAUCACUUGUGACCUUGCGCUAAUAGAUGAGCCUAAGUCGGAUUAGCUAGUUGGUGGGGUAAAGGCCUACCAAGGCGACGAUCUGUAGCGGGUCUGAGAGGAUGAUCCGCCACACUGGGACUGAGACACGGCCCAGACUCCUACGGGAGGCAGCAGUGGGGAAUCUUGCUCAAUGGGCGAAAGCCUGAAGCAGCGACGCCGCGUGGAGGAUGAAGGUUUUCGGAUUGUAAACUUCUGUUAAGUGGGAAAAAAUACUUUUUGCUAAUAUCAAAAAGGGAUGAUUGUACCACUAGAGAAAGCACUGGCUAAUCUCGUGCCAGCAGCCGCCGUAA
rnacentral:rRNA from 1 species